CGAGCACGCGCGUGUGGCAUAUCAAUAAGCGGAGGAAAAGAAACUAACAAGGAUUCCCUUAGUAACGGCGAGUGAAGCGGGAAGAGCUCAAAUUUGAAAUCUUCAAGGUUCUACCUUGACGAAUUGUAGUUUAUAGAAGUGUUUUCUGUUAGUAGAGUGGCAAAAGUUCUUUGGAAUAGGACAUCAUAGAGGGUGAGAAUCCCGUAUUUGGUCAUUCUUUCUAGCUUUGUGAUACACUUUCAACGAGUCGGAUUGUUUGGGAAUGCAGUCCAAAAUGGGUGGUAAAUUUCAUCUAAAGCUAAAUAUUGGCGAGAGACCGAUAGCGAACAAGUACCGUGAGGGAAGGAUGAAAAGAACUUUGAAAAGAGAGUUAAACAGUACGUGAAAUUGUCAAAAGGGAAGCGUUUGACACCAGUGUUGUUUUUUCCGAAAAUCAAUUACGAAUGUUUUAGUUUUUGAGGAGUUAUGACUUCAUCGGCUUGCUCCUUUCUUUAUGAAACUUUCUUAAUGCACUUUUCGGUUAACAAGUCAACAUCAAUUUCUUUUGUUGUAAAAGGGUAUGAGGAAGGUGGCUUUCUUUUCGGAGAAAGUGUUUAUAGCCUUGUGCCUCUGCAAUCGGAGAGAUUGAGGUCUGCAGCGUAGAUCCUUCGGGGUUAGAUACAUUUGUGCUAAGUUAUAGCUUUUCAUAGACAACUUGUUGACUAUGUUUAGUCUUGUAGCUUACUCGCUUAUGCUAUUUUACCUACGCUUAGGAUGUUGAUGUGAUACUGCGAGCA
rnacentral:rRNA from 1 species